ACGACAUGAUGGGGACAUUUUUGAAUGUGAUCCUCUAUUCUCUCCCAUGACUCAUGGAUCCGCUCGCCAUCUUGUUGAGAGAAGCUAGUGAGAGCUCGUCUUAUCUG
rnacentral:snoRNA from 1 species